GUGAAAGACACAUGCACAGAGGCAGAAAUCGUUCAAGAAAGCCUGUGGAACUUGCUUCAACUACCACAUCGACUACUGCUACUACUACUGUAAUAAACCCUUCACCAUCAAUCAACAGAAACCUCUCCACCACUUCACCGUUUGCUUCCUCUUACUCCUUGUCUCCUCUUUCUUCGCCUACGGAACCUGAAUUCCACGUCUAUCAAAAUCCUAGCCACAGCAGCAUCCUUAAUCCCUUCCUUUACCCUCAUUCUUCAUCUUCUGGAACUCCUGGUUCUGGUUUUUCCCCUCAAAAUAGUACUACCCACAACCUGUUUUUGGACUCUGGCUCUUCUUCUCAUGCUGAAAAUGAUUACAGGUAUUUUCAUGGAAUGAGGGAGGGUGUAGAUGAGAGAGCUUUCUUCCCAGAAGCUUCCGGUAGUGCAAGAAGCUUACAAGAUUCAUAUCAGCAAUUGGCAAUGAGUUCCUAUAAAGGCUAUUCCCAUUUACAGUUUGAUAGCUUAGCUGAUACGUCAAAACAGCAACAGGAAGAUCAGCAGCAGCAUUGCUUCGUUUUGGGUACUGAUUUUAAGUCAUCAGCCACACGGCCAAUCAAGUUAGAGAAAGAAGGCGAAACCCAGAAACCAUUGCACCAUUUUUUUGGUGAGUGGCCACCAAAGAGCGCAGACUCUUGGCUGGAUCUUGCACCCAGUUCAAGACUGCACACAGCAGAUAGUUGAAAACUCAAUAAUGGAUCUGCAUAUUGAGGCCAAAAGAGUACUACAUGGUGGUGGGUCAAUAUGCGUUGCUUUAGAAGUUGAAAUUGUGGCUAGGGUACCCCCAUUUUUUUUGUGGGAUUAAUAAUAUUGUAGGAACUAGAGAUACAGGAGGGUUCCUGUCUUUUGCCUUCUAGAACAUUAAAUUUAUCUCUUCCCUUGAAAGAAACAUGUUCGCGAUUUGUAGACUCUGCUUAUUUGACAUGCUUUUGGCUCCGUGAUAAUGCAGAAGUUAGUAAGUUGUUUUGUUUUGAUGACAUCUAGUUAUCCUUUCAAGUCCAUGCAUAUGGGGACCCAACAACCAACCAAUAUGUGCA
rnacentral:misc_RNA from 1 species